CUGACUCUUUCCUAACUGAGCAUCUGCUGUGCCACAGCACAGGCAGAGAGAGUUGUCUGGGGGCUCCCUCUGACAUGCUUCUGUGGAGAGCUAAUUUAAGUUCCUGCAGGUGUCAGCUCUCAUCCUACCCAUGAAGGGGUAUGCCUCCACAACAAAGGUCUUCUCAAGCCCUGGGAGCACCACACUGGGCCAAGCCCUGCCCUGCACCUCCAGCCAUGGAUUCAGCACAUCGGUCCUGGAGCCAGGGGACCUCACAAGCUGCAAACCAUCACGAGCUGUCAGCAACGUCCACAAAUCUCACAGACAUCUGUGGCUUAUCAAGCCAGCAGCAUUUUUCCUACAUUAAUCUCCACUAGGCCUGCCCCAGCUUUCAUUUCAAAAGACUUGGCAUGGUAUCUUAUUAAAAAAAAAACAACAAAAAAACCCAAAACAAAACAAAACAAAAAAAACCACCAAAAAAUUUUUAAAAUUGCUCAAUUUCUUGAGAUGCAGCUGGUUAGGAGCAGUGCCUUUGAAAUGUGAGCACAUUGCAGAGAUGUGGACAUGCUCAUUGUAGGCAGCUUGCAGCACAGGGGACAGCACUAAUGCCUGCAAAAGGCUUUUAGAAGCUGCUUUUGGGUGAUCCUUCCCCUUCUUUUGGGGGAGUUUGGGGAGUGCUUUAAGUAGCUGCUGUGCUGGGUAGUUCAUCUGGAUGCAGUGCACUUGUGUUGAACACUCUCCACCAGCCAUUGAUUCUCCCAGCAGCUUUCAAAAACCUGCUGGAGGGCUGCAGCACCCUCCUGCUGGCCAUGUUGGUGUUCUCCAGCACUGGCUUUGCAGACAGUGGCCAGGUUAAGGCAACAGUCUUCACUGCUGAUGUGAUGGACACCCAGGAAACUGCUCCACCACAUUGCACAUGUCCAGCUUGGACCCCUCACCACACUGGUCAUCCUCCUUCCCACAUAUUGAAGGCCUUUUCAUAAAAAUCUUAGGGCACAAGCAGUAAUUAAUAUUCAUUUCCUGUGCACAGCCAAGAAAUAUUAGCACAACAAAAGCCCAGCCACCGGUGUCUCAGUUUACCUGAGCAUGCCUUUCAAUGCUCCUAGAGAGUGCAGGUGGGGCAGGUAAAUUGUCAUCCUUAUAGGUCUAAAAGCACAGGAGUAGGGGUGGCUGUGCUCCACACAGAUGAAAAAAAAAAAAAAAAAAAAAAAGGACUAAUGGUGUUUAUAGUUACAGCCCAUUUUCAGCUCCAGCUGUCUCAAAGCAGAGUGACAUAAAACACAUAAGUUCAUUGUAUUUCACAAGAGGAUAUCCAUAUCCUUUCAUAUCACAUUAAAAAUGUCAAAAUAUCUUUCUGUUCAGAGUGUGCAUGCCAGGAAAAGGUCAGAGCAGCAUUUUCAGUACUGAGCACGCGGUGCUCAUCACCAGACCAACUCUUCUCUGCCAUGAACAUCCCAAACUGAGUUAUCAACUCAGAUAUCCUUCCUUUUACAGCAGAGUGAUGCAUUUAAAAGCAGAAAACUUAACACUUCCCAAGUAAAGAGAAUGUUAAAAAUUUAAUUCCUAUUUUCUCCAGAAAUUCAGCUAAGCAAUUUCAUUGUUAGCAUUUCCAAGAAAAGAACUGGUUUCCCCCUUGCUUCU